rnacentral:rRNA from 1 species
UACGUAGGGAGCGAGCGUUAUCCGGAAUUAUUGGGUGUAAAGGGUGCGUAGACGGGUAAAUAAGUUAGUUGUGAAAUCCCUCGGCUCAACUGAGGAACUGCAACUAAAACUGGAUAUCUUGAGUGCGGGAGAGGAAAGUGGAAUUCCUAGUGUAGCGGUGAAAUGCGUAGAUAUUAGGAGGAACACCAGUGGCGAAGGCGACUUUCUGGACCGUAACUGACGUUGAGGCACGAAAGUGUGGGGAGCAAACAGG